rnacentral:rRNA from 1 species
GAUGAACGCUAGCUACAGGCUUAACACAUGCAAGUCGCGGGGCAGCAUUUUCUUAGCUUGCUAAGGAAGAUGGCGACCGGCGCACGGGUGAGUAACGCGUAUCCAACCUUCCCUUGUCCACGGGAUAGCCCGUCGAAAGGCGGAUUAAUACCGUAUGAGGUCACAAUCAGGCAUCUAAAUGUGACGAAAGGUUUGGCGGACAAGGAUGGGGAUGCGUCCGAUUAGGUAGUCGGCGGGGUAACGGCCCACCGAGCCGUCGAUCGGUAGGGGUUCUGAGAGGAAGGUCCCCCCACAUUGGAACUGAGACACGGGUCCAAACUCCUACGGGAGCAGCAGUGAGGAAUAUUGGUCAAUGGGCGAGAGCCUGAACCAGCCAAGUAGCGUGCA